CCUACGGGUGGCAGCAGUGAGGAAUAUUGGUCAAUGGGCGCGAGUCUGAACCAGCCAAGUAGCGUGAAGGAUGACUGCCCUAUGGGUUGUAAACUUCUUUUAUAUAGGAAUAAAGUGAUGCACGUGUGCCUUUUUGUAUGUACUUUAUGAAUAAGGAUCGGCUAACUCCGUGCCAGCAGCCGCGGUAAUACGGAGGAUCCGAGCGUUAUCCGGAUUUAUUGGGUUUAAAGGGAGCGUAGCUGGGUUGUUAAGUCAGUUGUGAAAGUUUGCGGCUCAACCGUAAAAUUGGAAUUGAAACUGGGAGUCUUGAGUACAAUUGGGGUAGGCGGAAAUCGGGGUGUAGCGGGGGAAUGCUUAG
rnacentral:rRNA from 1 species